rnacentral:rRNA from 1 species
AUUGAACGCUGGCGGAAUGCUUUACACAUGCAAGUCGAACGGUAGAGGGGGCAACCCCUUGAGAGUGGCGAACGGGUGAGUAAUAUAUCGGAACGUGCCCAGUCGUGGGGAUAACGUAGCGAAAGUUACGCUAAUACCGCAUACGAUCUAAGGAUGAAAGCGGGGGAUCGCAAGACCUCGCGCGAUUGGAGCGGCCGAUAUCAGAUUAGGUAGUUGGUGAGGUAAAGGCUCACCAAGCCGACGAUCUGUAGCUGGUCUGAGAGGACGACCAGCCACACUGGGACUGAGACACGGCCCAGACUCCUACGGAGGCAGCAGUGGGGGAAUUUUGGACAAUGGGCGCAAGCCUGAUCCAGCAAUGCCGCGUGCAGGAUGAA